ensembl:snRNA U2 U2 spliceosomal RNA
AUCAUUUCUCAGCCUUUUGGCUAAGAUCAAGUGUAGUAUCUGUUCUUAUCAGUUCAAUAUCUGAUAUCUCCUCUAUCUGAGGACAAUAUUCUACAUAGAUUUUUGGAGCAGGAAGAUGGAACAGGAGGAGCUUGCUCCAUCCACUCCACACAUGGAGCUGGUGUUGCAGUACCUCCAGGAAGCCACACACCUUCA